rnacentral:misc_RNA from 1 species
UGCAAGGUGGUGCUGCAGGGCUGC